rnacentral:lncRNA from 1 species
GGUUUAUAUUUUGUUAGUAGUUACCCCUUAUAUCAUCUUUUGUAUUUGAUGAUUUAAAAUGUUGAUGUAUUAAGCAAAGAAAGAAAAGAAUGUAAAGCUCUCUUUUUAGGUAAAUGAGAUGUAAGAAAGAAAUGAUGUAGUGAUGUAAUGAAAUGUAAGGAAGUUGAAAAUGUUCAAGUUAGACUUAAUGUAUAUGAUCUAAAUUGAA